AUUGAACGCUGGCGGCAGGCCUAACACAUGCCAGUCGAGCGGAUGAAGGGAGCUUGCUCCUGGAUUCAGCGGCGGACGGGUGAGUAAUGCCUAGGAAUCUGCCUGGUAGUGGGGGAUAACGUCCGGAAACGGGCGCUAAUACCGCAUACGUCCUGAGGGAGAAAGUGGGGGAUCUUCGGACCUCACGCUAUCAGAUGAGCCUAGGUCGGAUUAGCUAGUUGGUGGGGUAAAGGCCUACCAAGGCGACGAUCCGUAACUGGUCUGAGAGGAUGAUCAGUCACACUGGAACUGAGACACGGUCCAGACUCCUACGGGAGGCAGCAGUGGGGAAUAUUGGACAAUGGGCGAAAGCCUGAUCCAGCCAUGCCGCGGGUGUGAAGAAGGUCUUCGGAUUGUAAAGCACUUUAAGUUGGGAGGAAGGGCAGUAAGUUAAUACCUUGCUGUUUUGACGUUACCAACAGAAUAAGCACCGGCUAACUUCGU
rnacentral:rRNA from 1 species